ACGACGCCCAUGGCAACGCCGCGAUGGUUGCGCGCCGCGACGGUCGCCACGAUAUCGUCGAGCGUGGCCAGCGCGGCGAGUCGACGCUGUGCGUCUGUCAUUCGGAUGCCGGUCGGGCCUUGUCCCGCAGGAAAACAAAGACAAGAGACGAGAGAAGAGGGCCUAGGAAAGAGAAGAAAAAGAAAGAAUUCGUCGCCGUCGACGCUGCUGUCGCGAUACGGUCUUGCUUGGCAGAAUCUCGUUGGAUCGCCCUCAAGGCGUGCGCGCCCCCUGUGCCCGUCGGCGUUUUUUUCUUUUGCCCUCUCAAUCUUUUUGGACGAGCAGAGGCCGCGUUGCCGCCCGCGCAAAGAAAAAGAGUCUGCGGCCAGAGAAGAAAUAUGACCAAAAAA
rnacentral:lncRNA from 1 species